GGGCACGUGGACACCCGGCUCCUCUGUGCCCUGCCGCUCAGGCUCCCAGCCACGCAGGGGAGGCGGCCAGGGCUGGGGGGUCCUGGCUCCGACCUGGCAUGUCUGCACAGAUGUGGACCAGGGUCUCAGCACGCCAGGCUUCUGCUCCAGGGGCAGCUGCACCAACACAGCCGGGAGCUACGUGUGCCUCUGCCCCUGUGGGUUUGCCAGCAGCCUGGACAGCAGCCGCUGCCUGGACCAGCGGGCUGGCACCUGCUUCUGGGUGCUGGUUGGAGGCCGCUGUGCCAAGGACCUCACCGGCCACGACACUGGGAGGCAAUGCUGCUGUGACAAGAGCAGGUGCUGGACGGCUGGCCCGGGCCCGAGCUGGACCCACGCGCCGCUCCCUACCCCCUCCGCCUCCCACAGACAUCGCUGAGUGCCGGACGCCCGGCGCCUGCGCGAACGGCCACUGCCCCGGGAGGGGGUGGGGGUGGGGCUGGCGGGGGGCGCGGACGGCCGCGGGUGCCUGGACACCCACGUGCGCAGCGCGUGCUACGGGACCGAGAAGGGCUCCUGCGCGCGCCCCUCCCCUGGCGCCGUCACCAGAUCCGAGUGUUGCUGUGCUAGCCCCGACCGCGGGUUCGGGGGGCCCUGCCAGCUGUGUCCAGCCAGGAGCUCAGGCGAGUUCUGGUCCCUGUGUAGCCGUGGUCUAGGCGUCCCCGCAGAGGUCAGAGGUUUGAAUUCCCGCGCACCUGUUUACUGACGGAAUACUCUCGGGCAAGGUGCCCACCCUCCGUGCCUCAGUCUCCUGGCCUCAAAGGGGAAAUAGUAAUAGGAGCCACUUCAGGAGUGCUGUGAGGAUUCAGGGAGUGGAGGGGAUCGGUACAGGAUGGUAAGCCCCCAUCACGUAGUGAUCGUGAUUCAUGCAGCUGCUGCCCAGUGUCCAGGGAGUUCCAAAGUGGGGACAUUUCUGCCCCCCAGGUGCAUUUGACAGUCCCUGCAGAAAUGCCAGGGAGGGUGCUGCUGGCACCUCCUGGGUGGAGGCCGGGGAAGCUGCCCAGGAGCAUUGUGCAUCCCCUGUGCACAGGACCCCCCACCCCACCCCAGCAAAGAAUGAUCUGGCCCCAAACAUCCGCAAUACUGAGAAACCCUGAAUGUGAGGGAGGUGGGGCAGCGUCUGGGCUGGAGCUCUGGCCCUGGAGGGCCUUGGUUUCUGGAGGUUCCCCGGUGAGCCGGAGUGGCCGCUGACACCCUCCCCCGGCUGCAGACAUCAACGAGUGUGCCCUGGACCCUGACAGCGGUGCCAAAGGCAUGUGCGAGAACAACUGGGGUGGCUACCGCUUCAUCUGCAGCCUGGGCUAUGAGGCAGCCAUGGCCGGUGGAGGGAACAGGGGUGAGAGAGCCCAGCGCUGGCAGGCAGGUGGUGGUCUGUGAGCUGGGACGUCCUGUUAAUGUGCCUUCUGCCUGCGUACAUGUGUUCUUUGUGGCCCAGCGUGUUCACGGACAUGUGUGCCUGGGUGCACCCCGUGCCGCUGAGCUCCAGUGGCCACCGCGGCUCCCUGCUGGACCAGGAUGGCAGGACCUGCAGAGCCCCUCCCCACUGCACAGCGUCUGACACCACUGCCAGGGUCUCCGGUGCCGGAUGGCCCGCCCUGAGCCCAUUGGGCUGUCUGGGCUGCAGACCUGGACAAGUGCACCUCCCGGCUUCACAACUGCCAGUUCUUCUGCAUCAACCCCAUCGGCGCCUUCACCUGCCGCUGUCCCUCGGCUUCAUCCAGCACCAGCAGGCCUGCUUUGGGAAGCCUGGCCAGCCUUGACGCGGAGGCCCUGCUGACCUGUGGCCUGAACCUGUUGUGCCUGGGCCGUGCUGAGCACGUCCUGGAGCUGCAGCCUGUGCUGGAGAGUCUGGGGCACUGCAUGCGCUACGUCACCGCCUACGGCAAUGAGCGAGGUUUCUCCCACAUGCAUCACUUCCGUGGCCUCAGCUCCCUGCAGCUGAGGCAUCGGAGGCCGGAGCCUGGGGUCUACCAGCUGGAGGUGGUGAACACGGCAGGGCCCUGGGGCACCCGGCUGCAGGGGUGCCGGCUGGGCCGGGGGACGGGGCUUUGUGAUUGAAGGUAAGGCUCCGGCUGGCUGCGGUAGCUGAGAGAAGCCCGUACCUCUGGCCUGGCCCCUCCCGCGACACCCCGCAGGGGCACCGCGCAACCCUACCUCUUCCCAGGGGCUCUGGGGAACCACUGUGCAUGGCAGGGAGAGCCCGGUGUUGAGUCCUGGCCUCAGUGGAUCUCAGGGCCCCCAGGCUGUCCUCUCCAGAGCUGAGGAAUUCUGGAGCCAGAGGCCUGGGUCCCAGUGGCAAAGGCUGACCGGUGGAGCCCCGACGCUCAGGAAGAGUAAAAUGCUACACUCCAGCCACAGGCUGGCCUGGCCUCUGCCCGGGAUUGACCCUCAAGUCCUCCUGGGGUCAGCAGGAAGCUGCAGGCGCACCCUCCACCACCAGCCAGGGCCAAGGCAGGCCCUGCGGCUCACUGCGAAUGCUCCGUCUCUGGGCUUAAAUUUCCUCACCGCAUGAGGCUAGCCCCUCCCAGCAGAGGGGCCCUCUGGGGCCCCAGACAAUUGGCCACACAGUCAUGUUCACACCCCUGCCUAGAGUUCCAAGGAUGCUUUUAUAUGAGAAGCAAGACAGGAAUAAAGUUACUUUGGGUUAAGUCUGCCACCUUGGCAAGUUCGUGAACAGACCUGGACCUUGGGCCAGGCUCACACGCAUGGCAGAGCAGAAAGCCCCAGAAGGACGGAUCGCUUUGGGAAGGAUAAACUUCAGCCCAGGGCUCCGAGGAGAACGCGUGUAGCAAAUCUGCGGGUAAGGUCCAGAGAGAUCCUACGUGCCCUGUGCCCCCUCACACGCACAGCCCCCAGCCCAUCACAGCCCUCCCGAGCCAGAGUGGCGCCUGUGUUCACCACGACGGACCUGCAAAGACACACUGCCAUCACCCAGAGUCCGCGGCUCAUGGGCCUGGCUCUUCGGGCCAGAAACGUGCGCAACAGGGACUCAGAUGGCCUGAGCCUGGGAGGAGCCGAUCGCCUUGGGAAUUUGCUCCACCACUUCUGAAGUAACAGGGACGUGAACCCCAAACUGCUGCUAACCCCAAAUUGGCACAGCUGCCCCAGAAAACAUAAAUGAAGCUUCCUGGUUUUCCAUUCAGCUGACCUACCUGGCACUUGAUGGAACUGUUGGGCCCCCAAAGAGCACCCAUGCCAGAAGGUCUUUUGGGCUUGCUCAGGCUGCCCAGCCUCUGCUGUCAGAGUGAACGUUCUGCUUUGAUGCUGCGGCUCUGCUUGGGAGCUGACCGGUGACUGGCUCGCCUGAUGCUUACACCCCUUUAUUUUGUUCCCAAAACAUCCCCCACCUGCAGCCAAGCCCUGGGUGUGGUUACACGUCACAGCCUCUCUCCCCAUCACUGUGCCUAGUCAAUCGCGCCACCUUCUCCAGGUGACAGGCAGCCCGCCUGCACGGGUCCCAUCCCCAGAACUGGAUUCCCCCUCUCCCUUCCCUAACCCACACCUGCUUUGAUGACACCCUGGGUGCCUGACGUCUCCCUCCUUUGAAGUGUGUAUACCACCCCUGAUUCCCUUCCUUCAAAUAAAUAAAUAAGGGAGCACAGAAUCCCCUAAGUCUCACACUUACAAUUCCCUUUGGCUAAACGACAAAUUCUUUUGGGUGUGCUGUGUCCACGGCAGGUGUAUGAGUUCCACACGGCAGGUGGCUGCUGU